AUACGUAGCUGGCAGGGGAGAUGCCAUGAUCACGAAGGUGGUUUUUCCAGGGCGAGGCUUAUCCAUUGCACUCCAGAUGUGCCGACCCCUGCUUUCCCCAAAUGCGGGGAAACUUGACCGGAUAAUUUGUGGUAGUGGGGGACUGUGUUCACGCUCUCCCCUU